CUAACAUACUGUGUCAUGAGAAAUUCACAUGGGCAGAAACUUCACAAAGCAAACAGUAGGUGCCCACUGAAGGUGUUACGUCUCCAGGCAUCUGUGUAGAUACGACGGCUCUCCAAGAGCUGAAGCUUUAUCUGGUCCCCUUGUUCAAGAAUAAGACUAACCGAGUUGCUCGUAGUGUCUUCGGUGUCUUGCCCGGGAGCGUUAUCUAAUGCUGCGAGCACAAGAUUGCCAUUUUUUAGCAGUUUAACACCAGUUGGUUUCUCACCAGCAUUGAAGACCACAUAGUUGAAGAAAUAAACUCCUUUUACUGGUGCAGUGAAGAUUCCUGUUGAUUAUGGUAGAAACAUGAUGAUGAUGAUGAUAAAACUGUUAAAGCAUCAACUUUCUUGAUGCAACUUUGCAAUGUGAUAUUACCUGUAUUUUUGUCAUAAGCAUUUCCAAUGUUAGUAAAUACAUUUUCAUACACAAGAGUGGUUGCUUCUUCAUGAGGUCCAAAAUAGA